GCUCCGCCCAGCCCCCGCGAGGAUUUGGCGCCAAACGCUGCGGGCCCUUCUCGCCCCAGGAGUUCCCGAGUAUCGCGAGAAGCGCGCUUAGUCUGCACGCCGAGGUCCGCGCUGUGGCCCGUGUUUUCUGCGUGAGAGGAAAAGAUGCUAGAACCACAGGAGAAUGGCAUGAUUGACCUACCAGAUUAUGAGCAUGUAGAAGAUGAAACUUUUCCUCCUUUCCCACCUCCAGCCUCUCCAGAGAGACAAGAUGGUGAAGGAACUGAGCCUGAUGAAGAGUCAGGAAAUGCAGCACCUGUUCCUGUACCUCCAAAGAGAACAGUUAAAAGAAAUAUACCCAAGCUGGAUGCUCAGAGAUUAAUUUCAGAGAGAGGACUUCCAGCCUUAAGGCAUGUAUUUGAUAAGGCAAAAUUCAAAGGUAAAGGUCAUGAGGCUGAAGACUUGAAGAUGCUAAUCAGACACAUGGAGCACUGGGCACAUAGGCUAUUCCCUAAACUGCAGUUUGAGGAUUUUAUUGACAGAGUUGAAUACCUGGGAAGUAAAAAGGAAGUUCAGACCUGUUUAAAACGAAUUCGACUUGAUCUCCCUAUUUUACAUGAAGAUUUUGUUAGCAAUAAUGAUGAAGUUGCGGAGAAUAAUGAACAUGAUGUCACUUCUACUGAAUUAGAUCCCUUUCUGACAAACUUAUCUGAAAGUGAGAUGUUUGCUUCUGAGUUAAGUAGAAGCCUAACAGAAGAGCAACAACAAAGAAUUGAGAGAAAUAAACAACUGGCCUUGGAAAGAAGGCAGGCAAAGCUGCUGAGUAAUAGUCAGACCCUAGGAAAUGAUAUGUUAAUGAAUACACCUAGGGCACACACGGUUGAAGAGGUUAAUACUGAUGAGGAUCAAAAGGAGGAGUCAAAUGGAUUAAACGAAGACAUUCUGGACAAUCCAUGUAAUGAUGCUAUUGCCAAUACUUUAAAUGAAGAGGAAACACUGCUGGACCAGUCUUUUAAAAAUGUGCAACAGCAACUUGAUGCUACAUCCAGAAAUAUUACUGAAGCUAGAUAAGUUUCCAUUAAGAGAAAAUGUAUCUGUUAAGUCAUCAUCCUGCAAGCUUGGCGUUACUAUGUAUUUUUUCUUCUUGGAGUGAAAAUCCUUAGAUAUGGAGUCUCACUCUGUCACCCAGGCUGGAGUACAGUGGUGCAAUCUCGGCUCACUGCAAGCUCCACCUCCUGGGUUCACGUCAUUCUCCUGCCUCAGCCUCUGGAGUAGCUGGGACUACAGGCGCCUGCCACCACGCCCGGGAUCUUGCUUCGUCACCCAGGCUGGAGUGCAAUGGCAUGAUCACUGCUCACUGCUGCCUCAAUCUCCUGGACUUGAGCAAUUCUCCUGCCCAAAGUGCUGCGAUUACAGGUGUAAGCUACCAUGCCCCACCUAAGUCUUCUAUUUUUGAAGCAAGUAGAAUUUGACCUAACUGUAACUUAAAAGAAAUUACAAAGCUACAGGUUUCUGGUUUGUCAAUACAACCACCUUACAACUAAAUAAAAAAAUAUUUUAAAUUAAAACAACAAAGUUAGAUUGGGGUCUGUUGAGCUCUGAACAAAUUUGAAAUGAGUUCAUAUGUGACAUUACAAACCUUACUUUAUGUCCUCCAUUUUUUUCUUGAGAUGGAGUCUUGCUCUGUUGCCUAGGCUGGAGUGCAGUGGUGCGAUCUUGGCUCACUGCAACCUACCUCUUCCUGGUUCAAGUAAUUCUCCUGCCUCAGCCACCUGAGUAGCUGGGACUACAGGCGUGCACCACCAUGCCUGGCUAAUUUUUUCUAUUUUAGUAGAGACGGGGUUUCACUGUGUUGCCCAGGCUGGUCUCAAACUCCUGAGCUCUGGCAAUCCACCUGCCUCGGCCUCCCGAAGUGCUAGGAUUAUAGGCGUGAGCCACCGUGCCCGGCCAUGUCCUCUAUUUUGAUUAGAAAAGCAUGACACUGAUAGAGUCAAGUCUUUUUAGCUCAGUAAAUUAGAGCAAAGUCUUGCAAAUCCUACAGGAUGGCACUGAACUGUGAUAUCAAUCUUGAUGACAGAUAAAUUAGCAAAAAUUUCAUUUAGUAAAAAAACUCUUUGCCACCAAGUCAUUUUAUUUAAAAAAAAGGUAUACAUUUGGAACUCAUAAAAAACAUAGGGCUAAUUUUCCUAAUAUGUAAAGAGCUUUUACAAAUUAAUCAGUAAUUGAUCUUGAAUCCAAAAGAAAAAUGGGCGAAGAAUAUAGUUAACAGAAAGGGAUACAUAAGUGACAAACAUAUGAAAAAAUGAUUAGCUUUAUUUGUAAUGCAAAUUAAAACCAAUCUAAGAUACCAUUUUUCAUCUAUCAAAUUGGCAAAGAUAAAAAAAUACAACAUAUUGUGUUGGCAAGGCUGUGGGAAAAUAUGCACUCUCAUACAUUGGUGACAGGAAUAUAACUGGUGUAACAUUUAAGAAGGGCAAUUUGAUUAUAUUGAUCUAAACACAAAUGCACAUACUCUUGACACAGAAAUCCCAUAAUCAAAUAUGGGAAUUUCUCUUUCACAUAUACUGUAUUUUAAAAAAUGUGAAAUGAUCUGGGCAUGGUGGCUUACAUCUGUAAUCCCAGCUUUUUGGGUGGCCAAGGUGGGAGGAUCACUUGAGCACAGGAGUUCAAGACUAGCCUGGGCAACAUGUGAAACUCUGUCUCAAAAAAUAAAAAUAAAAAUGAAAAUGUGAAAUGACUUAUGUUCAAAGUUAACUCAGUACAGCUUUGUUUGUAAUACCAAAAGAUUGGAAACUAUCCAAAUUUCCAUAGAUAGUGCAACUGUUAUUAAUACGGAAUGAUCUCCAAGAUACCAUUAAGUUCUUUUUUAAAAGGAAGGUGCUAAACAGCAUAUAUAUAUAUAUAUAUAUAUAUAUAUAUAUAUAUAAUGCAACCAUUUGUGUAAAAAAGAUCACAUAUGCAUAUUCAUGUAUGUAUUGUAUCUAGAAAAACUAAUACGGAACUGGUAAAUGAGGGAAAGUGAUAGGGAGGAACCUUUCAUUAAAUACCUCUUGGGACAUAU